rnacentral:rRNA from 1 species
UACGAAGGGUGCAAGCGUUACUCGGAAUUACUGGGCGUAAAGGGUGCGUAGGCGGUUAUUUAAGUCUGCCGUGAAAUCCCCGGGCUCAACCUGGGAAUGGCGGUGGAUACUGGAUAGCUAGAGUGUGUCAGAGGAUGGUGGAAUUCCCGGUGUAGCGGUGAAAUGCGUAGAGAUCGGGAGGAACACCGAUGGCGAAGGCAGCCCCCUGGGUUAACACUGACGCUCAGGCACGAAAGCGUGGGGAGCAAACAGG